rnacentral:rRNA from 1 species
GGAUUGGAAUUGGAUUCUGUAGUUAGUGGCGAACGGGUGAGUAACACGUGGGUAACCUGCCCAUCAGAGGGGGAUAACUAUUGGAAACGAUAGCUAAUACCGCAUACGAUACUAAGUCGCAUGGCUAAGUAUUCAAAGGAGCGUUUGCUUCGCUGAUGGAUGGACCCGCGGUACAUUAGCUAGUUGGUGAGGUAAAGGCUCACCAAGGCGACGAUGCAUAGCCGGGCUGAGAGGCUGAUCGGCCACAUUGGAACUGAGACACGGUCCAAACACCUACGGGUGGCAGCAGUAGGGAAUUUUUCGCAAUGGACGAAAGUCUGACGGAGCAAUGCCGCGUGAAGGAUGAAGGUUUUCGGAUCGUAAACUUCUGUUGUAAGGGAAGAACACUAAGAGUAGGAAAUGGCUUUUAGCUGACGGUACCUUACCAGAAAGCCACGGCUAACUAUGUGCCAGCAGCCGCGGUAAUACAUAGGGGGCAAGCGUUAUCCGGAAUUAUUGGGCGUAAAGGGUGCGUAGGUGGUUAGAUAAGUCUUAGGUGUAAGUGCAGAGCUUAACUCUGUGAUGCUAAAGAAACUGUCUGACUUGAGUGUGGUAGAGGCAAGUGGAAUUCCAUGUGUAGCGGUAAAAUGCGUAAAUAUAUGGAGGAACACCAGUGGCGAAGGCGGCUUGCUGGGCCAUAACUGACACUGAGGCACGAAAGCGUGGGGAGCAAACAGGAUUAGAUACCCUGGUAGUCCACGCCGUAAACGAUGAGUACUAAGUGUUGGAGAAAUUCAGUGCUGUAGUUAACGCAAUAAGUACUCCGCCUGAGUAGUACGUGCGCAAGCAUGAAACUCAAAGGAAUUGACGGGACCCCGCACAAGCGGUGGAGCAUGUGGUUUAAUUCGAUGAUACGCGAAGAACCUUACCAGGUCUUGACAUCCCAUGCAAAGCUAUAGAGAUAUAGUGGAGGCUAUCAGAGUGACAGGUGGUGCAUGGUUGUCGUCAGCUCGUGUCGUGAGAUGUUGGGUUAAG